rnacentral:rRNA from 1 species
GACGAACGCUGGCGGCGUGCUUAACACAUGCAAGUCGAACGGCAAGGCGCUGGUUUUGUGGGGUGCUCGAGUGGCGAACGGGUGAGUAACACGUGAGUACCCUGCCCUUGGCUUUGGGAUGACUUCAGGAAACUGGGGCUAUUCCCGGUUAGGAGCUCCUGCUGCAUGGUGGGGGUUGGAAAGUUUCGGCGGUUGGGGAUGGACUCGCGGCUUAUCCGCUUGUUGGUGGGGUAGUGGCUUACCAAGGCUUUGACGGGUAGCCGGCCUGAGAGGGUGACCGGCGACAUUGGGACUGAGGGACGGCCCAGACGCCUACGGGAGGCAGCAGGGGGGAAUAUUGCACAAUGGGCGGAAGCCUGAGGAAGCAACGCCGCGGGCGGGAUGACGGCCUUCGCGUUGUAAACCGCUUUCGCCUGUGACGAAGCGGGAGUGACGGUAAUGGGUAAAGAAGCACCGGCUAACUACGUG